GAUGAACGCUGGCGGCGUGCCUAAUACAUGCAAGUCGAGCGAACGGACGAGAAGCUUGCUUCUCUGAUGUUAGCGGCGGACGGGUGAGUAACACGUGGAUAACCUACCUAUAAGACUGGGAUAACUUCGGGAAACCGGAGCUAAUACCGGAUGAUAUUUUGAACCGCAUGGUUCAAAAGUGAAAGACGGUCUUGCUGUCACUUAUAGAUGGAUCCGCGCUGCAUUAGCUAGUUGGUAAGGUAACGGCUUACCAAGGCAACGAUGCAUAGCCGACCUGAGAGGGUGAUCGGCCACCCUGGAACUGAGACACGGUCCAGACUCCUACGGGAGGCAGCAGUAGGGAAUCUUCCGCAAUGGGCGAAAGCCUGACGGAGCAACGCCGCGUGAGUGAUGAAGGUCUUCGGAUCGUAAAACUCUGUUAUUAGGGUAGAACAUAUGUGUAAGUAACUGUGCACAUCUUGACGGUACCUAAUCAGAAAGCCACGGCUAACUACGUG
rnacentral:rRNA from 1 species